AGUGAACGCUGGCGGUAGGCCUAACACAUGCAAGUCGAACGGCAGCACAGUAAGAGCUUGCUCUUACGGGUGGCGAGUGGCGGACGGGUGAGGAAUACAUCGGAAUCUACUUUUUCGUGGGGGAUAGGGUAGGGGAACUUACGCUAAUACCGCAUACGACCUACGGGUGAAAGCAGGGGAUCUUCGGACCUUGCGCGAUUGAAUGAGCCGAUGUCGGAUUAGCUAGUUGGCGGGGUAACGGCCCACCAAGGCGACGACCGGUAGCUGGUCUGAGAGGAUGAUCAGCCACACUGGAACGGAGACACGGUCCAGACUACUGAGGGAGGCAGCAGUGGGGAAUAUUGGACAAUGGGCGCAAGCCUGAUCCAGCCAUACCGAGUGGGUGAAGAAGGCCUUCGGGUUGUAAAGCCCUUUUGUUGGGAAAGAAAAGCAGCAGGUUAAUACCCCGCUGUUCUGACGGUACCCAAAGAAUAAGCACCGGCUAACUUCGUG
rnacentral:rRNA from 1 species